rnacentral:rRNA from 1 species
UACGUAGGUGACAAGCGUUGUCCGGAUUUACUGGGCGUAAAGAGCGCGCAGGCGGUCGUUCAAGUCGAGUGUGAAAGCCCCCGGCUCAACUGGGGAGGGUCAUUCGAUACUGAUCGACUCGAAGGCAGGAGAGGGAAGUGGAAUCCCCGGUGUAGUGGUGAAAUGCGUAGAUAUCGGGAGGAACACCAGUGGCGAAGGCGACUUCCUGGCCUGUUCUUGACGCUGAGGCGCGAAAGCUAGGGGAGCAAACGGG